GACCGUGGUGGACGUGUGACUUUCAUGUGCGGGUCUGUGUGGGAUUAGUGUCACCCGGGUGAGCCUUGGAAGAGCGCUGUGAGUGUGUGUGUGUGUGUGCACUCUGGCGUCCCUUUCCUCGAAGGUCCACUCGCCCAUUGGUGCCUGUUGACCGUCUUGUUGAGGGUGUCGGCGCCUGGGUACCGCGGGCCUGUGGGCCUCUUCGUGGCUGUGUCUCCCGCGUCGGUUUGCAAGGGAAGGUUUGCUGCCCGGCGCCUUGGGAAGACACGGGUUCUGGAAGCACCCCCCUCCGCCACCCGCCAGCCACUUGCUGUGUGACUCGGGACAACGACUUGGUCUAGCUCAGCCCUGAUGUCCUCCUUCCUCGAGUGGCUGCCUCGCGCUUGCUGGGGGCGUGGUGUGGACAGUGAGGGCAGAAGCCACCCCACCCGCCUCCAGGCAGCCCUCAGACAGGAGUGAGCACAGCCGCGUCAGCUCUGACACUUGCCAAGCCUACCUGUCCUCCUGUGCCCUCUGGCCGCUGCAAGGAGCCGCUGUGUGCCCAUCCUGACCUGUCCCUCAUCGGCAGGUCCCAACACCUUCAGUCAGAGGCCCUUUUCCUCUGCCCACCGCCCUUUCCUGCACCGCAAAUGGGCCCUUGCCUACCCGCCAGACUCUGCCUCUCACCCCUGCUCCAGGGGGCUCUCCCCUGUCGUCCCUGCCCUGCCUUUGCGGGGCGCGGGGGGUGCGCCCCUCAUUUCCGUCCUGCAAGCCCCCUCCUGACACCUCCAGUCGCUUCUGGAAGAGCUCAUCCGUCGGCCCCCACUCCCACCUCAAGCCCCCACUGGCCAGGUGAUGUCACCGCCCUGUGCCUGAUGCCACGUCUGAAACAUAGGGAUAAACCGGGUCUUUGGGGGGGGGGGGGAAGGGGUUAUCCAACAAUCAAGUGAGGUUGGGGCCUCAGAAACAGGACUCCAGGAAGUGAUGGUCACAGUUGUGGCUGGGGCCACCCCGCCCCCAGACCCCUUCAGCAGAACCAAGCGCUGCUCAGGGCCUGUGGGGUACAGAGGGAAGACAGCCUGGCAGGGGCAGCCCUCGGGGUUGGGGGUGAAGAGGGAGGGGACUGCUGACUGCAAUCACUUCCCCAGGCGGUCACCUCUCUGCCUCUUGGCCUGGCUCUGACCGCAGAGCUGACCUCACAGCUGGGGCUGGCCGGAUAGAGCAGCGGGUCACCAGAAGCCCGUGCUCCCAAGUCAUACCCGCUAACAAGAUUAUCCAGAUUUGCACACAUAGAUGCUAGUCACCCGGGACCUGCUCUGUCCGGCUCAUCCGGCCUCCCCCGCCUCCUCCAGGUUCUAAGAGGCAAGGAUGCCGGGUCUGAGAAAUUCCAGAAUCCUCUGGCGACUUCCCUCCCGGCAUCCCUCCUCCCCAGCUCAUCCUUGGCUCUCUCUGUCCCCAGUCUCCCCCGGGGCUCCCACAGACAUGAUGCAACCGGGGCUGGAGCCGGCUGAGAGGUGGGAGGCAGGAGGGAGAUGUAAUUACAGAAGCUUCUGCCUCGAUCCAGCAGGAAGCUCGGAGUUGGGGCCCAGGGGACCCCAAUCCGAUGUGAAUAAUGGAGCGCUCGCCAGAAGCACGCAUGGCCCCCUCUAGGGAGGGGAGGCCCAGUGAGGGGGCUCCAUCCAGGUCUAGGGGUCCAGCAACCCCCCCUCCACCCCGUUAGCCCCAAGCUGGGGAGCACAGGUGUUCCUCUGGAGAGAAGAGGAAGUCUGUGAGGACCCUGGGGGGGGGGGGUCUCUAACUCAGUGGCCCUCCAGCCACCUCACCGGGUCUGCGGUCUGCGUCUCCUCAUUUUCGACAUUGAAGACAUUUCCCACUCUCUUCACGCCGCGGUAAGAACCCCCUGGGACUCGGCCGCCUUAACCAGGAGACGGUAGGACAGGGACGGAGACUCUGGUGAACCACGAAGCCCGGGUCCCAUCCCCCAGCCUCCGGGUCACCCCGAGGGCUUAGGCAGGCCUGAGGUCACCAGAACUUCCGAUUUGGGAGAAGCCAGAAAUAAGGACUUUUAUGUGAAGUACUCCUAUUUUUCAAUUUGGCAACCAAGUCAAGAACAUUUUUAAACGUUAUGUAGGCCAAAAGUAGAGAACCAAAAAAAAAAAAAAAAAAAAAAUAUAUAUAUAUAUAUAUAUAUAUCUGCAGGCUAUAAAUGUCCUGUGGGCCACCAAUGUGUGAAGUGAGAAACACAGGGCAGGAACUGUGACUGAGGCAGCCCUGUGUCCCCAGAACAAAGAAAAUAACCACCGAAGGGAGGAACGUCACACCUCAAUUUGUCUCCUCUCCCUCCAGCCACGCUUCUCUCUCCUCUGGGUCCCCAAGUGUUAUUACCACCAUGUCCCAGCUCAGAUGUGCCCUCCUCCAGGAAGCCCUCCCCGGCGCCCAAGCUGAGUCAAGCGCUCCCUCGGAGCUCCCCGACCCCAGCCCUGCCCUGUCUGGGUCAUGACUAUCUAGGGACACGUCUGGGUCUCCUAUUGGAUUCUGAGCCUCAAGAGGGCAAACCCCAAGGGCUGUCUCGGUCCCAACUAUGUCCCCGGCUUCACCCAGAACAGGGCUGGUCACAGAGAAGGUAGGUAGGUCUUCAGGGAGGGCUUGGAAGAAUGAACGGGACAAAUGAAUGAACAGAGGUCAGUGCUACAGACAGAGGUAAGCCCGUGGCAGGGGGUGGAGUCAUUCAGGGAGAGGGAAAGGAGGGGUGGGCACGGGGGCUCCUGGAGAGGACAGGGGCCAGCUCAGGGGUUCGGGGGUUCAGCGCUGGAGGCCACAGUCUACCCCUCAUUACCUCCCAGCUGUGUAACUUGGAGUGAGGGGACCUCCUUUGGCUCAGUUUCCUCCCCUGCAAAAUGGAUACUAUGCAAGUAGCCAGCUGCCUUCUGGGACUGUGGGGAUGAUUAAAUAAGUUCAGGGUCGCGGAGGGCCCAGUGCAGGUCAGAGUCCAGGGUGCUCACUUCCUCCGGUACACCCUCCCCAUCCACAACCCCCUCCCCACGCCACACAUCCUCACCCCCAACACACUCCAAACACACUCAGGAGGGCCGUGGAGGGACAGGGUCCCCCGUGAUGGCCCCAAGCUCUGUGCGUGCCUCAGUUUCCCCCAAAGCACAGGUACCACCACAGCCGCCACGUUUAUUGGAUUCACUCUUUGGCGAGGGAGGGGG